GAAGGUUCGUCCGCCCUGGGUUAGUCGGGACCUAAGCUGAGGCCGAAAGGCGUAGGUGAUGGACAACAGGUUGAUAUUCCUGUACUACCGAUAACCGUUUGAGAGAAGGGAUGACACAGUAGGAUAAGCUAAGCACACUGUUGGUUAUGUGUGCCCAAGCAUUGAGGCAGUCAAAGUAGGCAAAUCCGCUUUGAUAAUGCUGGGAUGUGAUGG
rnacentral:rRNA from 1 species